CCGCACCGCCAGAGCCUGGCUGGGGCGCGCCAACUCCCGCUCCCCGCAGGCAUCCUUUCCGCAGCCGGGGCCCCGGCGGGACUGGGAACGACUUGGGCGCGGCGCUGCUGCUGCGGCGACCCUUCGCCGUUCGCCUCCCCCUACCCCUCCCGGCCCGGGCUGCACAGCGGGAUUGCAGGAGACCGCGAAGCUUCCCGGUUCGUUCUCUUUCUUCUUCUCGGUGGCGGCCCCAGCAAAGACCCCCCCGAGCCCACCGCGGCAGCAAAGUUCCCGCGCUCACCGUCGGCCACGAAGAGCAGCAGGGCAUGCAGCAGCAGAGGCGGCAGGACACUUGGACCAACAAAAAAUAUUUUCUUCUCAGUCGUGCAUGCAAAUAUAUGGAAGAUCUUAGAAAAUUAUGGAAAGUGGGGCACACUGAACAAAAUCACUGCCAUCAGAGAGAAUGAAGUGAUGCAAGACCAGGAUGUGUCAGGAAGCCCAAGCGUGUGUCGCCAUGUUGAUCUCCUUGUGAAAUAGGAUGGACUCAGUACUUGCAGCUAG
rnacentral:antisense_RNA from 1 species